rnacentral:lncRNA from 1 species
GUUCAUGAUCAGGAACUCAAAACGAGACUAGUCUGCAAGUCAAAGCUUUACACCAGACCUAUCAACCACUCCAGUUUCAGCAAAGUGUUGAUUUUUUCCAGGGUUGUAUUUUUGCUAGGAAAGUGUGACAAGCCACAGAAGAGCAAGGUGUUUGAGGGGUUCUAAAGUGGGUAAUUAAUAAAAACUGACACAGUCAGUCAGUUCAGGAGAGAAAAUAGGACCUGGUAUAAAAGUGGGCAAGGAGCAAGGAAUGGGAGCCCAUAGUAUAGAAGGAUUGAAAAUUGGGGUGCUGGAAGGAGCAUGCUGGAGAGAUGGGAGGUGAGGCCAGAGUGGAAUGUGUCGAGGUGGUAAAAAUACACAACUAAAAUCUCAGGAUUGUGUUUGAUGUGGAAUAUUGUUCGGGACUCAUAAUACUUUAUCUACCCCCCGCUCCCCGCAAACCUAUGUCUUUAAUCCAGAAUUCUGCAGACUAUAGAAGUGCUAUGUGGUACAUGUCUAUACACUCACACCAAGGGUUUGGAAAGCAUUAUGUAAUCAAACACACUAAUAUGUCUUUAAUGGAAAGCUACACAUGUUCAUAUUAAAUGGGUUAUAAGGUGUCAUGUAGGUACAGGUCAGUUUUGCUAUUUUAUAAUUUUGGGCACUAAAUUUAAAAAGUAAAUCAACAAUAUUUGCUGGACCUUCAAAAACAAACUGUUUCACUAUUCUUCAUAGGACACUUGGAUAAAGAGGCUAGGCCUAAAUUUUCUAUUAAUAAAUGGCUUAGUUUUUAAGUUUUUAUUUGUUCUUUUUAGUUAUUCAUGACAGCAGAAUAUAUUUUGACAUAUCAUACAUACAUGGGGUAUAACUUCCCAUUCUUGUGGUUGUGCAUGAUGUAGGGUUUUACUGGUUGCAUAUUCAUACAUGAACAUAGAAAAGUUAUGUGCAAUUCAUUUUACUGUCUUUUCUAUUCUCACCCCCGCUCCCUUCCCUUCAUUCCCCUU